rnacentral:rRNA from 1 species
UACGUAGGGGGCCGAGCGUUGUCCGGAGUUAUUGGGCGUAAAGCGCGCGCAGGCGGCCUCGCGCGCCCGACGUGAAAGCCCCCGGCUUAACCGGGGAGGGUCGUUGGGGACGGCGGGGCUUGAGGGCGGGAGAGGUCGGUGGAAUUCCCGGUGUAGUGGUGAAAUGCGUAGAUAUCGGGAGGAACACCAGUGGCGAAGGCGACUACCUGGCCUGUUCUUGACGCUGAGGCGCGAAAGCGUGGGGAGCGAACAGG